rnacentral:rRNA from 1 species
UGGUGGAGUGAUUUGUCUGGUUAAUUCCGUUAACGAACGAGACCUUAACCUAUUAAAUAGUUACAUGAACCUGGAUUUAUUUCCACUUUUGUUCAUGGAUAACUUCUUAGAGGGACUCUUCACGUAAAGAGUGAAUGGAAGUUUGAGGCAAAAACA